CCUACGGGGGGCAGCAGUGGGGGAUAUUGGACAAUGGGGGGAACCCUGAUCCAGCGACGCCGCGUGAGUGAAGAAGUAUCUCGGUAUGUAAAGCUCUAUCAGCAGGGAAGAAGAAAUGACGGUACCUGAGUAAGAAGCCCCGGCUAACUACGUGCCAGCAGCCGCGGUAAUACGUAGGGGGCAAGCGUUAUCCGGAAUUACUGGGUGUAAAGGGAGCGUAGACGGUGAUGUAAGUCUGGAGUGAAAGGCGGGGGCCCAACCCCCGGACGGCUCGGGAAAUGAUGUGACGGGAGUGCAGGAGGGGUGAGCGGAGUGCCUAGUGUAGCGGUGAAAUGCGGAGAUAUUAGGAGG
rnacentral:rRNA from 1 species